GAAAGAGGAAUAGGAUGAGGGAACGGCUUGUUGCUUCCCAGUAAACUUUCAUAAGUUGCAUUCCAACUGCAAACCCAGAAUUGUUUAACCAUGCACAGACAAUGAGUAAGAUAAGGACAAGGAAGUUCAUAAAUGAUUAAACUUAUAAUCUGAAAUU